rnacentral:rRNA from 1 species
UCCCAGUUCGGAUUGCAGUCUGCAACUCGAGUGCAUGAAGCUGGAAUCGCUAGUAAUCGCGGAUCAGAAUGCCGCGGUGAAUACGUUCCCGGGUCUUGUACACACCGCCCGUCACACCAUGGGAGUCGGGAAUGCCCGAAGCCGGUGGCCCGAUCGAGAGAAGGGAGCCGUCGAAGGCAGGCCGGAUGACUGGGGUGAAGUCGUAACAAGGUACC